UACAGGGGGGGCAAGCGUUGUUCGGAAUUACUGGGCGUAAAGGGUCUGUAGGUGGCUUGCUAAGUCAGACGUGAAAUCCCUCAGCUUAACUGGGGAACUGCGUCUGAUACUGGCAAGCUUGAGUGCAGGAGAGGAACGCGGAAUUCCAGGUGUAGCGGUGAAAUGCGUAGAUAUCUGGAGGAACACCGGUGGCGAAGGCGGCAUCCUGGACCGGCAUUGACGCUGAGGCGCGAAAGCUAGGGGAGCAAACGGG
rnacentral:rRNA from 1 species